rnacentral:rRNA from 1 species
AUUGAACGCUGGCGGCAUGCCUUACACAUGCAAGUCGAACGGUAACAGGUCUUCGGAUGCUGACGAGUGGCGAACGGGUGAGUAAUACAUCGGAACGUGCCUAGUAGUGGGGGAUAACUACUCGAAAGAGUGGCUAAUACCGCAUGAGAUCUACGGAUGAAAGCAGGGGAUCGCAAGACCUUGUGCUACUAGAGCGGCCGAUGGCAGAUUAGGUAGUUGGUGGGAUAAAAGCUUACCAAGGCGACGAUCUGUAGCUGGUCUGAGAGGACGAUCAGCCACACUGGGACUGAGACACGGCCCAGACUCCUACGGGAGGCAGCAGUGGGGAAUUUUGGACAAUGGGCGCAAGCCUGAUCCAGCAAUGCCGCGUGCAGGAUGAUGGCCUUCGGGUUGUAAACUGCUUUUGUACGGAACGAAAAGCCCUGGGUUAAUACCCUGGGGUCAUGACGGUACCGUAAGAAUAAGCACCGGCUAACUACGUGCCAGCCGCCGCCGUAAAAC